AUGGAGAGAGGGAGAGAAGAGAAGCUAUUGGGGAAUCCUCCACAAGCUACUGGGGAAUCAUCCACAAGCUACUGGGAAAUCCUCCACAAGCUACUGGGGAAUCCUCCACAAGCUACUGAGGAAUCCUCCACAAGCUACUGGGGAAUCCUCCACAAGCUACUGAGGAAUCCUCCACAAGCUACUGAGGAAUCCUCCACAAGCUACUGGGAAUCAUCCACAAGCUACUGGGGAAUCAUCCACAAGCUACUGAGGAAUCCUCCACAAGCUACUGGGGAAUCAUCCACAAGCCAAGUGUGUGCAAAGGGUGGCAACUUUGAAGAAUCUCAAAUAUAAAAUAUAUUUAGAUUUGUAUUAACACUUUUUUGGUUACUAAACUCAGCAAAAAAAAGAAAUGUCCCUUUUUCAGGACCCUGUCUUUCAAAGAUCAUUUGUAAAAAUCCAAAUAACUUCACAGAUCUUCAUUGUAAAGGGUUUAAACACUGUUUCCCAUGCUUGUUCAAUGAACCAAAAACAAUUAAUGAACAUGCACCUUUGUUUUUGAAGUGUUCAGAACAAGGUUAAAAUUAAGCUUGUUGGACACUAAGAAAGCUUUGUUGUAGAGCAUUUAACACAAAAUCCAGGGAGGGGCCAGCUGAGUAUAAGACUGUAUCAUCUGCAUAUAAAUGGAUGGAUGAGAGCUUCCUAAUGCCUGAGCUAUGUUGUUGAUGUAAGUUGAGAAGAGUGUGGGGGUUAGGAUUGAGCCUUGGGGUACUCCCUUGGUGACAGGCAGUUGCUGAGACAGCAGAUUUUCUGACUUUAUACACCACACUCUUUGAGAGAGGUAGUUAGCAAACCAGACCAAAGACCCCUCAGAGACACCAAUACACCUUAGCCGGCCCAGAAGAAUGGAAUGGUCUAUCGUGUCAAAAGCUUUGGCCAAGUCAAUAAAAAUAGCAGCACAACAUUGCUUAGAAUCAAGUGCAAUGGUGACAUCAUUUAGAACCUUUAAGUUGUAGUGACACAUCUAUAACCUGAGAGGAAACCAGAUUCCAUACCAGAGAGUAACUAUAGACAUCAAGAAAGACAGUCAAUUGAUUAUUGACAAGUUGUUCCAACACUUUUGACAAACGGGGCAAAUUUAAAAAUAGGCCUGUAAACAGUUAGGAUCAGCUUGAUCUCCCUCUUUAAAUAAAGGACCCACUGUAUCUGCCUUCCCGUCAAUGGGAACCUCCCCAGAGAGGGGAGACAGGUUUAAAAGGUCAGAGAUA
rnacentral:lncRNA from 1 species